rnacentral:tRNA from 1 species
GGGGAUAUAGCUCAGUGGUAGAGCGUUCCUCUUGCGUAGCAAGAGUGUAAGUCGGCGGUUCGAUUCCGCUUAUCUCCA